GUUGACCUCGGAUCAGGUAGGGAUACCCGCUGAACUUAAGCAUAUCAAUAAGCGGAGGAAAAGAAACCAACAGGGAUUGCCCCAGUAACGGCGA
rnacentral:rRNA from 1 species